rnacentral:lncRNA from 1 species
GGGAAGGGCGGAGCUGCGUCCCGGGGAGACACGCGUUGCAGCCGGCAGCGUAGUUGCUCCCCGCUGGCCGGCCGCUCCGGGAGGGCCCCGCAGCGGAGGGUCGGGGCUGGGGCGGGCUGGGGAGGGGGCCCAGGGCUGGGGCCGGUUCGGCCUCCCGGGUGGCGCGCGGGCCGAGGAGCUAGGAGGACCGCCGCGCCGCUUGUCCUUUGGAUAAACCUUGGCGGUUCCUCCUCUGGUGUCCGUGGACCCCGCCGCGGCGUUCUCCAGGGCCGCGGACCUUUGCCCACCGGUUGCGCCCGCUGCCCCGGGCAGAAAGGACCCCCCUCCUCCCGGACCGAGCCCCGAGCCCCAUGGAGCAGGCAAGGGCCAGAGUCCCGGGGCCGAGGCCCGACCGGCGGACGCUCCGGGACCUUUUCCCGCCCCCGAGGGUGCAUGUCCGGCCGGGGCCGGGACUGGCUGGGAAACCGAGGCCAGAAGAGGUCGCAAUCCAGCGAGGAAUCGGUUUGUGUGGGGUGGGGGUGGGAUGGGAGACCCCUCCCCAACCCCACCAGCCCCAGCCCAGCUGUGGCCUCAGCCAUGUCACUCAGAAAACCAGCGUCAAACCCCACCCUGCCCAGGAUGUGGACCUUGCCUGGUGAGAGUCCCGCUCGGAUUUCCCCAGGGCCCCUCCACCGCGCAGCAGGGGUGUCUGCGCUGGGCCCAGGCAUUCACCAGGGCCUGCAGGCUGCCAGCCUGGAGUUUCCCUAGGAUCAAAUGUGCCACCGGAAGCUGAAGGUGGGGACGACCAGUGGCCCCCCCCGGAGCGAAAACCCCCGCAUCUCUCCAGGAUGGGGGAUCUGCUUGGGGGUCCACUUAGGGGUGUAUCCCUCAGGCAUUGGAAGUGCGGAUGGGAGGCCCCGAGCCAUGGUGGCUCCCCCAGUCCCCAGUUCUUUCUCUGUGUGAAUCCAGCUUUGCAGGGACGGGGAUGUGGUGCAUUUCCCGGAAGAGCCGG